rnacentral:lncRNA from 1 species
GGUCUGGUUCGAGGCACUCACCCUUCAGAAGUUGUAGCUCCACUGUAUCCCGCAGGUGCUUCCAUUUUAGCCCCGGGGGCUUAUAGACCGCGAAAAGCCCAUGCAGCCGCGACAAGCCAGCAGACCCCAUACUUGAAGAUCACAGCACCCGCUGGACCUGGACGGAAGUACCGCCAGGCCCCGCCCCCAAAUGUGGUCCUUUCCACGGGCGCCGCCAUGUUCCACAGCCGGAAGAGCCGUCAGAAUCGGUUUUUCAGUGAGUUUUGACCCCUCCGACGCUCCGUCGCCUGACAGAAUCGCGGCGUUCUUCGUACCCGCCCAUCCUCCGCGGACGCCCGCUGCCAUGGCGACUCUGCUGCGCCCUGAGCUUUUGAUACCCUGGCUACAUAUGGUUGCACAGGCUGGGCACUGCCCAAUUCCAGGGGUGUCAUUCACAUACAUGUGUAUACACUGAUGACUUCCGAGUUGUGCAGUGUGAUAGCCUUGGCCCAGUUUCAACCACAGGGCUCUGUGCCUUCAUUAAGUUCCCAUAACAUGUGCUGGCUUUACCCCUCCCUUGCAGUACCUUUUGCAAGUACUCUGG